GCCUGGCUGGUUCAGUCGGUAGAAUAUGUGACUGUUGAUCUUGGGGUUGUGAGUUCAAGCCCCAUGUCGGGCG